AUUGAACGCUGGCGGCAGGCCUAACACAUGCAAGUCGAGCGGAUGAAGGGAGCUUGCUCCUGGAUUCAGCGGCGGACGGGUGAUUAUGCCUUAGGAUUCGCCCGGUUGUUGGGGGUUAACUUCCGAAACGGGGCCCUAUUCCGCCUUCCUUCCGGGGGAGGAAGUGGGGGAUUCUUCGGACCUCCGCCUUCCGAUUGAGCCUAGGUCGGAUUAGCUAGUUGGUGGGGUAAAGGCCUACCAAGCCGACGAUCCGUAACUGGUCUGAGAGGAUGAUCAGUCACACUGGAACUGAGACACGGUCCAGACUCCUACGGGAGGCAGCAGUGGGGAAUAUUGGACAAUGGGCGAAAGCCUGAUCCAGCCAUGCCGCGUGUGUGAAGAAGGUCUUCGGAUUGUAAAGCACUUUAAGUUGGGAGGAAGGGCAGUAAGUUAAUACCUUGCUGUUUUGACGUUACCAACAGAAUAAGCACCGGCUAACUUCGUG
rnacentral:rRNA from 1 species